CUUUUUUUAUUGAUGGCAUAUUGUUCCUAUUAUCAGAUUGUAAAAGCGUGCGGGCAGGCAGGUGACAGUACCUACAGUUAAGAUGAAUCAGACACACAGCCCCGACACACAGAGGAAAAGUUGACACCAUUAAGGAGCGAAAGGCAAAAAAAGUUUCAACUUUAAGACAGUUCACGCACUUUGGGCGUUUGUCCCCCCACCAACUUAUCUUGUUUCAUGCAGCACACAACUAGAAAGCGGAGGGAAUAAAUACAUUUUCUAUUGUCACUACCCUGGCCGGGCCGGGCCAGUGUGCGGACGCGAUUCUUGGCACCAAGAACGCACCGGUGUGGCUCAGACGGGCGCCAGCCACCUAAAGGUGCACCUCUGAGGCUAAUCCCCCUGUAGGACACAAUUACUGGUAAACCCUCUGGACCAGUUUUGAAAAAUCCUAAUUUCCUCUAUAAGGAUUACAUUGUCAAUUUAGAAAAAUAAAACACUUAGUGUUUCAAUCUGACCGUUUAUCUUUUAUCUUAUAGGACAGUUUUUGAAAAUGUUGCAGAAACUUGAUUUGUACGGUAUGUUUC
rnacentral:lncRNA from 1 species